UGUCACAUUUGCUUAUUUGUUAUCGGGGGUGAUACUAGAUUAAGAGACUCUGUUCAUGGACAGGCUUGGAGGUGCCUGCUCUGUGACUUGUAGCCAUAUUCAUGGUUACCGACUGGGUGAGGGGCUGUGCCACCCAGCAAGGACAUUCUGUGAGCUUCUUGGCCUCUCCUUGCCUGGCCUGGCCCCUUUCUGCUUCUCUCAGCGCCAGUCUUCCCCCUUCCUGUCCCUGGGAUUUGGAACUUGGACCUCUGGCAUAUGCAGGUCCCCUAGAACAUCUGUCAGUGUCCCUGGCUUCCCUGCCAGUCCCUUGUGACAGGCUGCAGAGGACUGAGCCGAGGCCCACCAGCCCCUGAAGUGGGGUGAGUGUCUGUCUGUGUACCUGGGAGUUGCUCUGGGGUCCUUUGUGGGGGUCGGGAGGCGCCUGAAGUUCUGAUCUGGUGACUUCUGUAGAGUCCUGGCUGGGAGGAGGCUGUGCCCAGAGGAGGCAGCUUGGACAGGAGUGUGUGCAAGGCUGUCAGUGGGAACGCAGGCUCCCCCACCCCAGCCAGUGCUCCUGGAAGAGGAGGAUUGUGCCCUCCAGGAACCCUUACUUCCGAGUCGGCUCCCUGGGUGACAGGGAGGGAAGGGUGUGAACCAGGGCUGCUGGCUCUUUUCCAUUUGCAGCUCUGCUCUGGUUCCUGUUGCCUCUUGUCCAAGCUUGUUUGCUCUGGUGUGUUUGGGGGACCUGGCAGCAGAAAGCCUCCUGGUGCAGCUAUCUUGUGGUUCCACGGGGCUCAUGGCACCCCGAGAAUUCCCAGUUGUGAGAGCUGGCUAAGCCUGAGUCCUGGGCCAGUCUCCUACAGGGGCAGCAGGCAGAUAGGAAUGCUCACCCCUAGCCCACAGCAUCUGUGCAGUGGGCAGCCUGCCUGCCAGCUUCUCUCCGGCCUCAAAGCGGGUCUGAGAGCUGAGUAUAGUGAACCAGGGCUUCAGACAGCUUCUGGAGCCCCUGUGUGACUAGUGCAAGCCAGGGCAGAGGCAGAGGGGACACGAGAUUGUCACUUAGGGGCAGCACUCUGGGGUCCAUGUCUAGGUGGACCCGGGACCAUGAGUUUGUUUGGAGUUCCCAGGUGGGAACUGCAAGAUGUCCCACCUGUAGCUCCACAGAAGGAGGCAUUGUGUGUCCUUCUCCUGGUCCCCUGCCAGAGCCUGCCCACCUUAGAGAUUGUCCUGCCCAUCCCAGACUGCCCUGAGGGCCCCACAUGGCUGGACCAGAAGCUGUGCCUUGUUCUGCGUGUUUGUCCCUGGGCAGUGUUGCGUGGGCUGUGCAAUUUGCUUAAGAUGUCCCCGAUAAGGAAAGUUCAGGACACACUAGGGCAAGCCGGGCCUUGAGCAGACCCUGAGCAGCAGAUCCUGGGCCAAUCCAGCAGGCCCUGGGGCUGCGGGAGGGCAGAAGGCUCCAAAGAGAGGUCCCAGCCCCAGGGGUGUGAGUCUUUGGGGUGGGGAAGGAGGGACUGGCUGGCUUUCUCUACCUGUUUGUUAGGGCUGUUACCUUAGAAACUGUCCAGGCUAGGCUGUUGUCAGGAGAUUAAUAGGGGAUCAAAGGAUCCAGUGACGCUUCCAGUAAAGAACACAAAUGUAUGUGGCCCCACUGUGCUGGGGGGCUCCUGGAGAGACCUCCAGCAGAAUCCCCUGGAAGCUUGGACCAAAGGGAGUCUCUCUGCAUGAGUGCAGAGGCCUGGUGGGGAGCCACCACGGGGCAAGGUCCUGGGUCCUGUGAUAAUCAGAGCUGUGGGCUGCUGAGUGUCCCUGGACGCAGUGAAGUGUCCUGUAGCAGGUAGGCUGGUCAGCCCUGUGCCUUCCCUGAUGGGACAGCUGUGCCCAGUCUCCUGAGGUCCUGGCCCAUCUUGACUGUUUGUGUGGAUUCAGUCAUUCAUUCUAGAACCAUCUGUAGGGCACUGCUGAGCACCAGGCUCUGUUCUGGCUGCUCCCUGAUGGCUCUUGGCACCAGCUCUGCAAGGUGGCCUGAACUUGGUCCCUCGAGGAGGGGCCACUCUGCUCCCAGCCCAGUUUCUCUUUGCCUGAUCUCCUUCUCCCCACUCUGGGCCCAGGCCCACUCACAGCUGCACUGAAGAGGACACCGAGCUGCUAUCGCAGAGGCAGCUUGUCAGUGACCUCUUGGCAGCCCUGGAAUAACUGAGCUUUGUCCCAGGCCUCCGCUGACCUGGUUCUCCAAAGCAUGACAGUCGGCAGCCUGAAAACCUCCAGGACAGGAAACGGGAGCAGCACGGGGAGCGAAAGACAAUCCCAGCUUUGGGUUGCAGAGUGGCCCUUGCCCUCUCUGGCAGGCACCCAAGUCAUCCUCCAAGCCCCAGUGUCCCCUGCAUGCCCUGGAGUGCUGGGGUAGAGAAGAGGAGAACCUGAAAGAUCUUUCCGGAGCUGCAGACUCACCAGCUCCUCCAACACCUCUUGGCUUGGGGUUUGAAAGGAGGGCCCAGGCAGGGGUGCCUUUCCUCCUGGUGGUGGACAUGGCUUUGGUCCCUGCCAAGGUGGGUUGUGUUGGCCUCUUCCUGGCUCCUAGGGAGGCCUUGUUCCCCCAGGACCUCUGGUGAAGUCUCAGUCACGGCUGGGAGUCUCUAGUCCCCCUGUCACCGAAUUUGGAGCCAGGAGCCGAUAGCAGCUGAGGAAGCCCCUGAGCCCUGUGUCCCGGCACCUGGUCCUCCUCGGGCCAGGCGUGUUGGGGCAGCGGCUGUCUUCCUGAUUGGAGCUGGGCUCCAGCCGCUUCUGGAAGAGGUCUGCUGCUGUGGACUGUGGUCUGACUGUGCCGUCUUGAUGCUGCAGUGUGAGGUAGAUGCAAGCUGCUCCUCAUAGCUGUGGGAUGCGGGCUGGCCGGGUGCUAGCUUCAACCCCCUGCUUGCCAUCUUCAAAUAAACUCUUGGGUCCACUUGCUUUGUGGCUGUUUUUGUCUUCAGUAACGGUCACAGGGAGGCCACUUGUGUGUGUUUCAGUAGUUAAUUAUAGGAGACAUUAGCCAAGAUGAAUCUCUUCUCUAGCACUCCUGGAGUUGCUGGCAAAACCAUAACAGACCACAGCUUUUUAUUAAUGUAUCUAGUGGACAGCAGACGCCACCUGCCACUUAGCACCUGCGGCUCCUUCCCCACCCUCAAGGUGCACCUGUACCCCAGGAGCGGGCUCCAGUUCCCUGGGGCAGCCCAAAUGCCCCAUUGGGGAGAUGGACCAGGUACCUUAGUUGGUGACCACUCAUCCUGCUAAUCACGUAUUUGUGCACCCUUUUCUUCUGGAACCUUCCAGUUCCUCAGGACAGUAGACAGGGCUGUCACCAUCUCUCUGCCCGUGCCUCAGCCAUCCUCCUUCGGGUCUGGCCAGUCUUGUCCCUUCCCUCUCUGUGGCAUAGCCCCGGGUUGCAGCCCAGGGACCUGAUAAAGUUGGGUGGGCUGGGUGCCUUGGGUGUCUGUCCAGAAGCCUCCUGUGCUAUGGAGCACCCAAGGCUCUGGGGGGUGCUCAGCUAGCUCUCAUUGCUAGUAUAGUGCUCCCCUGUGGUGGGCUGAUAGCUCCUUGUGUGACUGGGUCUCGGCCUGUACCGGGAUCUGACAGGGUCGCCAGAAGUCCUUGAAGUCCUCAUUAUGCAGUUCAGGCUGGCCUGGACUCACUAUGUAACCCAGGCUGGCCACCAUGCCUGGCUCCUUGGACAAUUUUGGAAGGGCCUGUCUCAAAACAAUUAGCUGGGUACACUCCUGUGACCCCCAGCACUCUGGAGGCUGAGGUAGGAGGCUCACAAUAUUGAGGCUAGCCUGGGCUAUGUAGUGAGUUCAAGGUUAGCUUGCACUACAUAGUGAAACUCUCUGUCUAAAAAUGAAAGAAGUUUAAAAGCUUGGGGAGUUAGUUCAGAGGCUCUGGGUUUGAUGUCCAGUGCCCCGCCCCCACUAUGGAGGUUAACACAGCCUGUGGCAGGUCGCUGCUGCGGUGUAAGUGAACGUGUUGGCUCCAGGGUCUUACACACGACAAGCAAGCACUCUACCUCCGAGUGACAUCCCCACCCUCUGCUGCAGUUUCUUUUCCUACACAUCCAAGCUUCUCCUAAGUUCUGCUCAGUGUGGGAUCCCCAAGAAGAGGGAAACGGUGAGGGGCGAGGCCUCUGUGAUUGAUCUGGUACAUCACUGCUUUUACUUCUGAUCAGGGAGACGUUUUGUUUUGACUUGGCAUGGAGGAGAGUAGAAUCCUUUGCUUACAGCUUACCUCUGGUGGUGGGAAUAAUUUUCCGUAGGUUAACUCCGGGCUCUGCACAGUCCAAACCCCACCACUUCCCCCUGCCCACAUUUUUCCGGCGCCAGGCACUGCGGGACAUGUUCUUGUCUGAUGGUUUUGGAUUCUGCAUGGUAGCUGGAACCGGAUCUGGGCGAGGAGGGAGUGUUCCUGGAAUCCGUUUCUACCUUGAGAUGGCAGGCCGUCACUGAGCUGCACAGGGAAAUAGCUGGGAACUACAUAAAUAUACCCCCACUCAAGCCAAACGAAACAGCUCUCCAGUCCAGCUUCUCCUUGGCAGGCGUCUCCAGAUGCUAACGAUCCUUCACUGCCAUCUCACCCAGGAGAAGGUGGACUGGGCAGGAACUUAGAGUGGAAAUAAACUGUGACUUU